rnacentral:sRNA from 12 species
GUCCUAUACAGAUGUAUCAACGCAAGACAGUUGAGCAUCUCCCUUUAGGAUGUUGUUUAUCCAGAAGCUUCAGCAACAAUCUUUAUCGUGUGGCUCAAGUCGAAAUAAGGUGAGUUGAAGUGGAAUAGGUUAACCGUAAGACCUCGAGUUGAAAAACUCUAAAAUUGACCUAGAAAUGAAGUUGUAAAAUUUCGCUAUUUCUAGUUACGGUUGG